AACGAACGCCGGCGGCAUGCCUAACACAUGCAAGUCGAACGAGAUCUUCGGAUCUAGUGGCGCACGGGUGCGUAACGCGUGGGAAUCUGCCCUUGGGUUCGGAAUAACAGUGAGAAGUUACUGCUAAUACCGGAUGAUGUCUUCGGACCAAAGAUUUAUUGCCCAAGGAUGAGCCCGCAUAGGAUUAGCUAGUUGGUGGGGUAAUGGCCUACCAAGGCGACGAUCCUUAGCUGGUCUGAGAGGAUGAUCAGCCACACUGGGACUGAGACACGGCCCAGACUCCUACGGGAGGCAGCAGUGGGGAAUAUUGGACAAUGGGCGAAAGCCUGAUCCAGCAAUGCCGCGUGAGUGAUGAAGGCCUUAGGGUUGUAAAGCUCUUUUACCAGGGAUGAUAAUGACAGUACCUGGAGAAUAAGCUCCGGCUAACUCCGUGCCAGCCGCCGCGGUAA
rnacentral:rRNA from 1 species